rnacentral:tRNA from 1 species
GCGGGUAUUGUAUAAUGGCUAUUAUGUCACCCUUCCAAGGUGAAGAUGCGGGUUCGAUCCCCGCUACCCGCUCCA